AGAUUUCGCCUUGGCCACAAAUGAUUCCUCCGGAGUUAUUAAAAUACCUCGGUAACCAGUUUCAACACUUCUUCUGUAUAUUGAUUAAUACCUCGGCGAGAAUUGAAAAAUCGUUGCUUAUACUGUUUUCAACCCUUGGACCUGGACAAGAGCGUUUUGAUUAAUACCUGCAAACACGCCUUUCAUGUCGAGUGCAUCCAUAUAUGGUUAUUCGAAGAACCCAGAUGGUGCCCCAAAUGCCAUAUUCGAGUCAGGGCUGAUGACUUGAUCAUCACCAAGAAGAAGACUUCUGGGCACAGGCUGAUGGUGCAGAAUUUGGAUCUUGUACGAAAGGAUGACAUCUAUCCUGAUUGUGACUUCUGUUCAAUAUGUUUCGAGGGACUUCCUCACUUCUGUUGCUCUCUAAUAACGAAGUGCAACCAUGUAUUCCACAGGCGUUGCAUCCUGAAUUGUCUCAAGAACAAUGCCAGUUGUCCUUUAUGCAGAGUUCGGUUUGGACUUGAUGAUCUGCUUAAUGUUUUUUGAAAGGGAGCACCAGGUGGAUGAAGAUGUAUAAUAUUGCAGUUGCAACGAGUACAAGAAAUUGUUUUAUAUUUUCAUAAAUAAAUAACAAAAUCUGAUAUUUAACUCUUUAUC